AUAAGACACGCCCCGUUGAGCUGCGUGUCUAUCGUGAGGCUAAGCUAGUGGGGACAAAAUUUCAGUGCAUUCCGUGGACGGAGACGGUGCGAAAACGAAAACAAGAAGUAUGCCGGCUCAUUGUGCUGCAUACAAAUGCAAAGUACGUCGGACGACUGAGACAAGGAAACUUGGAAUAACUUUUCAUAGGUUUCCCAGAGACUAUGGGCUGAGGAGGAAGUGGGAGGUAGCUCUGAGGAGAGAGGGGUUUGCUGCAAAUGAUGAGUCGGUGCUCUGCAGCAACCAUUUUCAACCUGAUGAGUUUGACAGGGCUGGGCAGAUUUGCCGGCUUAGACCUGGUGUCAUUCCAUCAGUGUUUAACUUCCCGGCUCAUCUUAGAAGACCUAAAGCAACAAGGACCACAGCAACCUCAAGGAAAGCUAUGGAGAGCCUACACAUCUCUCAGCAUGCCACCAAGAAAGAACCUCAGCCUAAUGUUGACCUUGACCACAACUAUUCGUUGCCCAGUUCUCCAUCUGUUUUGAAGGCCAGGUUCAGUGAGGCUGCAGCCAGACUGUGGAGCAUGGAGAAGAAGAAAAGAAAUGCGGAGGUGCGAGAACGGAGGGCAAAGACCACUAUAAAGGCUCUACUGAAUGUUCUGAAAGAGAAGAACCUACUGACUAAGGAGCUUUGUGAGGGGCUGCGAAUAUACUUAGAUCUCCCUUCAGCCUCUCCUAAAAGAGGAAGCGUGCCGUGAAAGCCUAGUGUCUGAAGCUACAAAAUCAUCGUUCAGCAAGAAUGACCCAUCUUUUGACCCUAAAAAACAAUGGUGGGUUGGUGAUUCUCUCGGAUGGCAAUGUUCAGGCGGUGAGAGCUGCUGAGCGGGCCAUUUGCCAUAGUCCUGGGCACGUACCACUUGAGUCUGUGGUCACACUUUUUGUCCGAGAAGAGACUGGUACAGAGGACGUGUUUUUACUCGGGGAGUGCAUCGAGGAAACCCAGUUUGGUACAGAGAACCACCAGUCUCUCUUGAUUACUUACAUUGUGUCAGUGUUCUUAAAAAUAAGACUGAACUACAUUGCCAGACUAAUUUCCCUUGAUUUACAAGGUGAAAGUACAAGAAAGAAAUUGUGCAAAAUGGCCUUCUUUUAGGAUUUCUAGCCAUGAUGGUGUAUGAAGGUGAAGUGUGACUUGGGGACACACAACAAUGUACGUGUUUCUUGUAAAUGUCAGUGAACUCUAUCCUGUUCUAUUUUAUCUCCAUGUUAUAUGUAUAUAACAGCCUAGAGCGAGUGAUGUAAAACAAUAAUAAAUAAAUAUUAAUGAUAAAUAAAUUACAUUUACAAUUAAAUCAUUUGAUUUAAAACAUUUUCUACAUAAGUGUAUUUUUAUCUUUCUAUUUUUAUUUCAUAUAGGUAUAUAUGUAAGUAUUUACAUUUAUAUACAUAAUCGCUGAACAUAAAAAAUUCCCUGGCCUCUGGACCUAAACAGUAAGAUAACCGAAUUUGCAUACUACAUUGGUAGGAAGCCUUUUUACAUUUUUUUUUAGAUCAAAUUUCCUCUAUUAAUGGCAUGUGUUUUGUAGUUGACAAUAAAGUAAACCACAUGAAAACUG